rnacentral:rRNA from 1 species
CAGGCCUAACACAUGCAAGUCGAACGGGCGUAGCAAUACGUCAGUGGCGAACGGGUGAGUAAUGUAUCGCUCAUGUACCCUGGACGCUGGGAUAGCCGGUCGAAAGAUCGGGUAAUACCAGAUGACAUAUCCGAGUCGAUGGACUUGGAUCUCAAAGGAGCAAUCCGGUCUGGGAGCAGGCGAUAUCGUAUCAGCUAGUUGGUGGGGUAACGGCCCACCAAGGCGACGACGCGUAGCUGGUCUGAGAGGACGGCCAGCCACAUUGGGACUGAGACACUGCCCAGACUCCUACGGGGGGCUGCAGUAACGAAUCUUCCGCAAUGCACGAAAGUGUGACGGAGCGACGCCGCGUGGAGGUUAAGUCCUUCGGGAUGUAAACUCCUGUCAGGGGUUACCAAGAACUGAGGAGCCCCAGAGGAAGGCACGGCUAACUCUGUGCCAGCAGCCGCGGUAAU